rnacentral:rRNA from 1 species
CACGUAGGGCGCAAGCGUUGUCCGGAAUUAUUGGGCGUAAAGAGCUCGUAGGCGGUCUGUUGCGUCCGCUGUGAAAACUCGGGGCUUAACCCCGAGCCUGCAGUGGAUACGGGCAGACUAGAGGUAGGUAGGGGAGAAUGGAAUUCCCGGUGUAGCGGUGAAAUGCAUAGAUAUCGGGAGGAACACCUGUGGCGAAGGCGGCCCCCUGGUUGGAUACUGACGCUGAGACGCGAAAGCGUGGGGAGCAAACAGG